UACGGGGGGGGCAAGCGUUGUUCGGAAUUACUGGGCGUAAAGGGCUCGUAGGCGGCCAACUAAGUCAGACGUGAAAUCCCCAGGCUCAACCUGGGAACUGCGUCUGAUACUGGAUGGCUUGAAUCCGGGAGAGGGAUGCAGAAUUCCAGUUGUAGCGGUGAAAUGCGUAGAUAUCUGGAGGAAUACCGGUGGCGAAGGCGGCAUCCUGGACCGGCAUUGACGCUGAGGAGCGAAAGCUAGGGGAGCAAACGGG
rnacentral:rRNA from 1 species